rnacentral:rRNA from 1 species
UACGUAGGGGGCAAGCGUUGUCCGGAUUUAUUGGGCGUAAAGAGCGUGUAGGCGGCCAGACAGGUCUGCUGUGAAAACUCAAGGCUCAACCUCGAGACGCCGGUGGAAACCGUUUGGCUAGAGUCCGGAAGAGGAGAGUGGAAUUCCUGGUGUAGCGGUGAAAUGCGCAGAUAUCAGGAAGAACACCCGUGGCUAAGGCGGCUCUCUAGUACGGUACUGACGCUGAGACGCGAAAGCGUGGGGAGCGAACAGG